UGUUCAGAGCAGCGUCAGUUCUCCUCCAGACCCAUUUCUCCUCCAAAAUCUGCACAUCUAUUGAAGUUGCAGGAAUGGCUACAGCUUUACCAGCUGCAGGGCGCCAAGCUUUGGUUCUUCCGCUGCUGCAGCACGAGAACCCUGAGGCCUCAUGAACAUGCCGAGCCUCAUCAGACCGCCAUGACCAUCCCAGCUGAGCCGCCCAACGACAACAUCAUCUGGGCUCUCAUUUCCUUUGUGCAUGAAAAUCCGUUCCGCCUGGGACUGGUGGCCCUCCUCUACUCCUUAAAGCUUCGCGUCAUCCGCCCAUGCUGAGCAUCUCCGCACAACAACCACAUAAACCACCUGGUUUUCCUGUGAGUGAAGAGGUUUCUCAUAGCAAAACCUUCUGCUAGGGACUUGUGUGCAGGAACUCGACUCAAAUCCAAACUCCAGAGAAAUUGUGAGGUGUGAACAGACAAUGGAAAGGGCCAGCAGAGACGGAAUGGACCAGAGAGAUGUGGGAGACCAUUAAACCAGAGUGAGAACAGCUGAGUAUGUAGAAAUGAAAUGAAUGUUAAAAUCACAAACCCACAGAGAACAGGAACUAGAGAAACAGUAAAUAGGUGGAGCGCCACUUAGCUAACGCAAUGAAAAGUCAGACACAGAAGUGAGAUAAAACGGGAAGGAAAGAGAAGGAAGGAGAACUAAAUAAAACACAGAACUAUAACACUAAAUGGAACCAAAACCACAACUGAAAGUGCAUUUGCAUUUUUCUACACUUUGACAAACUUAAGUCAAUAAAAGUCUGGACUGGAUUAGUGAUGAAGAUGAAGAAAACCAACUUUAAAUGAUCCCAAAUUUCAAUGGGAUCCCUUUCUACUGAACCCAGUUCAAAAACCCUGGGUUCAGAUUGAUACCCCAGUGGACCGAAAAAGAUUUAAAAUGACUAUUCUCUACUUUGAAAGAGUGUGUUCAGGUUGUAGCAACUCAAAAAAAGAAGCUGUUGUAAUAUGACAAAUGAAAAGAAAAACAUCACACCGACUGUAAAAUGUAAACAUAGUUUGUUAGACAUCAUAUUCUAGACUCUCUCUGACUGCGUGGCAGAUCAUGUCUGAGAAGAAAUGUCUUCUACCAAACAAAAGUGGCUUCUUCUUUCCACGAUGUCGAGUUGUGUUUUCAGUCAGAGAGAAAUCAGUCGUGACGGCUACAAACGGCCAAAGGUUUCAGACAAGAAGGGAGUUACCAUUGUUUCUAGAUUGAGUCCGGUUUAAAAUGAAUAUUUUUG